GAUGAACGCUGGCGGCGUGCCUAAUACAUGCAAGUCGAGCGAACAGACGAGGAGCUCGCUCCUCUGACGUUAGCGGCGGACGGGUAAGUAACACGUGGAUAACCUAUCUAUAAGACUGGGAUAACUUCGGGAAACCGGAGCUAAUACCGGAUAAUAUAUUGAACCGCAUGGUUCAAUAGUGAAAGAUGGUUUUGCUGUCACUUAUAGAUGGAUCCGCUCCGCAUUAGCUAGUUGGUAAGGUAACGGCUUACCAAGGCAACGAUUCGUAGCCGACCGGAGAGGGUGAUAGGCCACACUGGAAGUGAGACACGGUCCAGACUCCUACGGGAGGCAGCAGCAGGGAAUCUGCCGCAAUGGGCGAAAACCUGACGGAGCGGCGCCGCGUGAGUGAUGAAGGUCUUCGGAGCGGAAAGCUCUGUUAUUAGGGAAGAACAAAUGUGUAAGUAACUAUGCACGUCUUGACGGUACCUACACAGAAAGCCACGGCUAACUACGUG
rnacentral:rRNA from 1 species